AUUUCCUAUCUCAGAUAAUCUUACUCGUUUGGCAAGAGGCAUAAACUAAUAUACAUAUGCAAAUAUGUUCAUUGUGCUUCCGUGCAUUGAUGCGUUUCUUUCUUAUUCGUCUGCUUGGCAAAGGUUGGAAUCAUAUUCCCAUGGAGGCAUUCUCUGACUCGGAUUGAAAGAGUCCACUGGUUUUGUUGUCUUGACAACUUCAUAGUCAUAAAAAGUUUUUGUUCUAAGAGUGGAUUUUCAGGAUUCCAAGCCUCUGCCUGAACUUAAGAGUAGUGGGAAUUUUGUUUUUCCAAGACAUUGCCCUAACUAAUCGUAAAAUGAAGGAAAAUGAAUUGCUUCAUUUCUGCCUGGCAAUCCAUAUUAAGGGCUGUAGAUGUAGACACCAAAGAAUGUCUUUAUUUGCUACAUUUGGAGUAUGUAGGAGAAGAUUCUAUUGACUGGUCAUUAGAGGCCUUUGUAUAAGAUACGCUAAAAAAGGCAAAGGGGGCUCCUCCCCCUUGGAGUUUUAGAAGGCAAGGAAUAAAUUCCACUUUCUCUCCAUCAGAAGUUUAGUACUGAUUCAGCUGUAAGGGAAUAAACAAAAAGUCGUUCCAGAUUUCUUUUAGUUCUUUAGUUGGCAUAAGACAGCUGGUCUAGCCCCAGCGAAUCUAUGCAUCCUAAGCUCCAGGAACCCAGUGAGAAAACAAAAGGGGGACUGUACUUGCUUGCACACUUUUAUUAGUAAAUGAUAGGACAAUAGUGCCUUGAGUGGACCACCUACCUUGUCCUUGACUCAUCCUGCUUCAAAUUUCUAAUCGCUUGCCCCAUUUUGCAGUUUCCUUCUUUCAAAUUGUUUUCUUAUUUUCUAUAUGCAAGAUGCUUCUUGGAAGAUUCACAAACAUAAAAAGAGUUUGUUGCUGGAUGCAGUUAAAGACAACUUUUGUGUGCAACUACUUGCACUGAUAUGUUCGCAAGUUAAAGAGAGAGAAAUAAUGUCAGAAUUGGAAUCUGCGGUUAAGUACAUUAUACAUACUAAUGCUAAUUAUUGUACUCUCCAUCCAGGUAGUUUCUGUGGGCACCGACAGUUUGACACCCAUCUAUGACUGAACAGUAUGUACAUUAAGCCUUCAGGUCAAAGCAGUUUAAAUUUGUAAAUGGUAGUGCUGUUGCAUUGUGUCAAUCUCAGAGGUAUACUGGCUUGUUAUAGUGUGCAUUGUAAUGACAACUGUGGUUUUAUGGUGAUGAGUAUUAUAGUGCAACUAUACCCUUAUGAUAUAAAGUUUUGAAUCUGCAAAUGAGCGUGAUGGAUGCUAUAGCCGAAGGACAGUUCAUUGGUAUCAGUGUAACUGUAGUCGUGUCUGAAAGAUUAAUUUGUUUAAUGUGCAAAUCUGGGGGAGCCAUUGCAUAGUUAGACUAAUUAGUUGUACCUACCUUAGUACCUAUAGGAUAAUUGGAAAGAAUAUCAUCUAUGCUUCUACAUGAUCAACAUCUAAUGUGGAAUAAAUAUGUAUACCCGUGUGAUAUAGAGUGAAUAAAAUUUACAAUAGAGAAUGAUGAAUGCUAUAGCAGAAAUGUACUUCAUCAAAACCAGUGCAAAGUAGUCAAUUCCACUAUAUAUUAAUUUGCUUAAUGCGCAUCAGUGUGAGAGCAGUGGUUGUCUGGCCACAUUAUGCAACCAUGCCUACCGAUAUAAUAUUUGGAAAGAAUAAUAUCUAUGAUGCUGUAAAAUCCACAGCUAAUGCAGAAUAAAUUCAUACAUGGGUCCAUAAAGACACAAGCUACUAUUCACUAUCUAAUUACCCUUACGGCAGUGAUCUAUAAUUUAUCUAUCGGUGAAGACAUGGUCGAUAAACAGAACCAUUUAGUGCAUUUUAGUGAUGUCAGAACAAACACUGCGAACUGCAGAUCAGAGCAGAGCUCCAGAAUUAUGGAUGUAUUCCUUGCAAUGAUGAAUUUACUUUAGUUCUGCAGCAGAGAUCAAUCAAUUUGGUAGGGGGAUAUCUUAUGCUAUCUCGAAGACUCAAUGAAGUGGAGGCCGUUACCAAACUGACUAAGUAAGAAUGCCUAAAUAGUUUGUUAGCAUGUUGAUGGAGUAAAUUACUCAAACGUCAUUUGGUCUUCACAAGAAAACAGAGCAAAUGCUCAUGCCCUCUAAAGUCAAUUUCAGCACUCAUUGAUUUUUAUUUGUUGUGAUUUAUUAUUGGCACCAUUCAAAGGACAUUUAAUAGCAUGCUUCAAACUGAACUGUUUAUUGCCAGGGGUUCACGAUUAUACUUCACCAAAUUGUAGUCUAUUACUUGUGGAUGUUUUCUUUUUGCCUCUUUCCGCUCUAGUUUUUUCUUGCUGAUAAAAAAGGUCUGCUGAUAACUUUUGCUUCUUCAGAGGGAGGAGGCUACAGUAGCUUCACACUGGAAUUGUUCUAGUUUUGAUGCUUGCAUGAAUAUGCUGAACUAAUUUUCAAGAAAAUCAUAUGAAGUUGAUAUAUGUGCACGAUAGUGUUAUUUUCUUUAUUCUUUUGGCAAGAAUGGCUAGUGCUAUUACUUUCUUCUGCUCGCAUAUCUGAUUGGUGAGAGGUACUUGGAAAAAGUGUUUGCUUUUACUUGAUGUUGUCGUGAAGGCCUCAUUUUGGUCUCUCCCCCGUGGACGAAGGCAUUUUCAUCUUGCGGAGAGUAAAGGAGGGAGCAUCCAUCGAAUAAUUAUCACCACCUGUAGAAGCUCUUUGAGCUUCUUAUCCUGUACGGCUUGGUUCUGAAAAGCAAGACAUCAUCAUCGGCUCUCAGAAUCAUUUUAGAGACUAUCAUAAGCAAUGGCAUCGCAAAAUGCUUAUUGGUGCUUAUCUGUCUUGUGACGCGCCAACGCAUUAGCCAAAAAAGGAAGUGAGCAUAAUGGCUACAGGAAAGCUAUCCCGGAGGAUCAAAAGCUGGAGGAGGGGAAGGAAGAUAAAAGCGCACAGAUUCCAUUGAAAUCGAAUGAAUAUAUAGGGGCGCUUGUGAGUCUCUCAGAAAUUAGGUUUGGCACUUGCUUGCAUCCUUGAAUCUGUUGCGGUCAAGCGGUGAGAACAUCAGCAUGUCGAACUAUCCAUAUCUCAUGCCUCAGAACUGUUCAGUAUGAUUAUUCUUUUCUGUGAUCGAUUCCACCAAGACAAACAAGAAUUUUCAGAGCUCCACAUGUCAGCUUCAAAAGAGUAAUCGACUUUUAGAGUUGCGACGUCAGGUUAUUACUCUCAGAGUUAACAGGCUUAGCUCUGUGUAUUAUUCUAGAAAAAUACAUCUCAGAGGAAGUGCAACUAUUUUCCCUUUUUCAAUGUCAAGCUGCAUUUGGUAAUUUAAUCGGUUUUCCUCUAGUCAGAGACAGUAAUCUAAUGUUAAAAGACUUCCAUUUCCUAAAACCUCUGGUGCCUAACGAUUCCCCUAGUCCCAUGAUUUUCAUUUCUUAUCUCAGAUGCCAUGUUAAAUUAUAGAAAUUGACAAUGGUCUCUAAGCACUACGCUUAGAAAGAAGGAAAAAAAUGCCUCGGUUUGCUUUUGUGCCUAGAACGAAGAAUGUUUUUCACAAAGCAAUCCCUUCCAACCAUGCCUUUUCUCUUUUAUAUUCUCGAAUCAAUCCGAUCUUAAAGUACAGGAUUCAUCCUGGAGCAAGCGUCCCCAUCAUGCAUAUAUUCCUACCCCCCCAAUUCAUUUGUUUUGUUACCCGAGAUCUAAUCCAAGAAUAUCAAGUCCGCUGCGGCUGUGCUGUAUGGUCCUACUGCAUCUCGCCUUUCUUAUCGGCCUCUAUAUCCAUUCUUUCCGGUUUAAGGAACAUAUGCCCUUGACUUUUCAGUUCGUGCCGUAAAGCUGAUCCAAAAGUUUCCCUUUUUUCGUGUUUGUAUAUGUGUAUGACCCGGUACAGAUUUAUCGGCGUACUUGAGCCCCCCCACAGGAACGAGGAUCAUGUCUUCAAAAGGGAUCCUGAAAUCCACAGGAGGCGGACCGACCGACCGACGAUAUGAGGUCGUGAAGACGAGUGGAGAUGCGUCGCACCGUUAAUUGCUCGCGUGGCGAUGAAAACGGAACGUGGUUGAUUCGAUUUCGUACUUCAGGUUGAUCUGCUGAAGUGGUCGUGGGAUUAUAGAAAAUGAUAGAUGGUUUGGAUAAAAGUGCCCAUCAAAAUAAAUUCUUAUAACACUAUCGAAUCUUUUAGAUCAUGGUAUAAAUUUUGUAGUGGAGUCGCCCUCCAUAUGAAUGACUAAUGGGUUG